rnacentral:lncRNA from 1 species
UUCGAUCACAGGCCCCGAAACAAUGGGAAUUUUCCUGUGCAUUUCUUCUUCCCGCCAGCGGCGAUCUGGGGCCGGCCGGGAGGUCGUUACGUCGGUUGCCUCGGCCAUGUCCGGCGUCCCCCUCCUCCGGCCGUGAGACCUCUCCACCGACCGCCGUGGAUAGACCACCGCCGGGGGAAUAUCUCCCGAUCUGUCGUCUUGGAGUAGAUCCCAUUCCACGGCGAAGGAGCUCGCUCAUGCCGCCUGACAAGGUGAGGGGGACAAUUUUCCUGCUGGAGGCAUCCAUAUCCAUAUCCAUAUCCAUAUCCGCAUCCAUGUUCCUUCAUCUGGACCUUCGUUAUCGGCACCUGAUCCGGCCGCUCCUACCAGCACUGGUCUGUCUCCCACGAUCGCGUCGUGAAUCUGAAGGAAGAAGGGGAUCUCGAAGAAGCCGA